ACGCCCCCUUCCCCUCUCCCCCUUCCGGCUCGGCUCAGAGCCCCCAUCCCCACCCCCGUGGGAACGUUCGGAGCCUGCACUCCUCAGACCCUCUCCUCGCCUCUUCCCUCACCUCAGCCCCAGCUCCCCGCCCUCUUCCCGGCCCUGGGCGCCGGCCGACCCGUCCCUCCGCCGCCCCCCGGCCGCGGGGAGGACAUGGCCGCGCACAGGCCGGUGGAAUGGGUCCAGGCCGUGGUCAGCCGCUUUGACGAGCAGGUAACGGGCCCAUGGCGA
rnacentral:lncRNA from 1 species